ensembl:snRNA U6 U6 spliceosomal RNA
GUACUCUCUUCAUCAGCACAUAUAUUAAAAUUAGAAAGACACAGAGAAAUAAGCAUGGUCCCUGCAGAAGGAUGACACACAAAUUUGUGAAGCGUUCCGUAUUUUU